rnacentral:rRNA from 1 species
GUAGGGGAAUCUUCCACAAUGGACGCAAGUCUGAUGGAGCAACGCCGCGUGAGUGAAGAAGGUUUUCGGGAUCGUAAAGCUCUGUUGUUGGUGAAGAAGGAUAGAGGCAGUAACCGGUCUUUAUUUGACGGUAAUCAACCAGAAAGUCACGGCUAACUACGUGCCAGCAGCCGCGGUAAUACGUAGGUGGCAAGCGUUGUCCGGAUUUAUUGGGCGUAAAGCGAGCGCAGGCGGAAUGAUAAGUCUGAUGUGAAAGCCCACGGCUCAACCGUGGAACUGCAUCGGAAACUGUCAUUCUUGAGUGCAGAAGAGGAGAGUGGAACUCCAUGUGUAGCGGUGGAAUGCGUAGAUAUAUGGAAGAACACCAGUGGCGAAGGCGGCUCUCUGGUCUGCAACUGACGCUGAGGCUCGAAAGCAUGGGUAGCGAACAGGAUUAGAUACCCUGGUAGUCCAUGCCGUAAACGAUGAGCGCUAGGU